GUCUCCUAGAAGAAAUCCUCUCAACCCCCUUGCUAUAGGACGAGGCACAAGCAUUUCCAAAUGAGAAACCUCAGGAAGAUGAGCCUCCGGGGCUACCAGAGUGACCCCUCAGUUAGAAUUUUAGGCUCUAGUGGACAUGCUGUAAUGAAGUCAGGGCCGGGCUUUAGGAGGCGAAUAGUAUAAUUCUGUCACCCCCCAAAACAGGCCUUUGUUUGACAUGCAGAUCCGCAGUGACAGCAAAGUAUUUCGAUCUUGGAAUACACAGCAGGUGUUGGAACAAGGCCAAAGCGGAAAGAUGCAGCCAUCACAUGGCAGCCAAAAGGGUUUUCUUAUCCCUGUUCCGCGUGAAGUGCUUUAGUGCCUCAGGGAUAGUUGUCAAGCCCCACAGAGCCUCUGGAAGCCCUGAGAGCACCAAACAGCAGAUGCCUCACCCAAAGUCUGGCAACAACAAAAAGUCUUGAAGUGGCCAACAUGACUUCACUGCUGCCAUCACCACCGAGCUGUCUGGGCAACCCCAGAACGGCAAACGAAACGAGGCCUAACGAAGGGCUGAGACUCCUCCUCAUGUUUCUUUGCUGGUGGAUCUGGAGUUCAGGAGAGGAAACUGAGGUUAGGCCGGUGUGCAGAAGGGCGCAGGUGCUAACGGUCUUGAACACGUGAGUCCAGAACCAUGAUUUAUUCUUCUAGCUCUCGGCCCAGGAACAGAUAGUAAAAUAUACCUUUAAACUCUGCAUGUGAUUAAUUGAUUUAAAGGUGAAGUCUAGAACACCUUGAAAUGUUUGUAUCCUAUUUUCCCUUGGAACAUUUAAAACAAAUAAUAUGAGAGAUAAAAGUACUCUUGAUAGAAACUUGAUUCAACAGUCAGGAAAUUGUCUGAAUAUUCCUCUUUCCCUUAUUCUAGCAGUUUUGUCUAUAUAAACAUUCAUAUUACCCAUAAUUUUUAAUAGUUUUGUAUAAAGAAACUGUAAGUUAUCUCUGAGCCUCCUGGUGGUGUUUCUUCAUUGUGUAUCUUUACUUCCUUUUGUUUGUAUUUUGAAAAAACUGCUUCAAGUUUUUAAGGCAGUGGACUAUGACUCUCCAUUCAUCAAAGAAAAUCAUAUUUGAAAGCUCAGAGUUCCUUCUUAACUGUGAUUAUGUCUCUUUGCCUUUUUUCCGGCCUUUGCAGCAGAUUUUCAGAAAUUUGCAAUGCCUCAUUUAUCUAAGACCCUGUGUGGGAGAGUCAGAGUGCCUAACCAAGUUUAUGGCUUCUAUCUGCAUCCACACCAGAUUGGAAGCAGUGGAAACUUCUAGCAGAGAGCAACCUCAAUUUGCAUUCCAGUUGAGUCGACCGUCUCUGCCUCUGGCUGCUCCUUUCCUCUCAUCUCUAUGUGCAGAUCGAUCAAGAGUUUCCAUGGACAGAGGGGCAGGGUCUCUCCUCUGCACAAGCACUGUGGCAUCGAGCUGAUGAAACAAGCCUGGCCAUGACAGCCUCAACCCAGGAGACUUUUCCUUCAGCAGAUGUGAAAAUGGGACUAAACCAACCACUUUAUUUAGCCACCAAAAGCUCUGGGUGCACGAAGUUUCCAAGCUGCAAGGACUCUCAGAGGUAAAAAUAGCCUUGAGCUGCGAUACAGGGGUACCGGGGUUUCACCCGUCUCUGCUGCCGAACUUUUCGGGUCACCAUCGCCGGGUCCCCGAAGGAAGCGCUUCGGUUCUCGAUCCCGCCUCUGAAGUUGAACAUGCCCCGCGGUGUCCGCUGAGGCCGGAUCCUGAGGCCUGGCUGUGGGCUGUGGACCCCUCGGUUUUCCAACUUUUCAGAACUCGAACCGUCUUCGGGAACCGAGUACCUUCAAAAACCCAGGGACCCCUGUAUUUGAACCUUUCUCAGGAGCUGAGCCUCCAAAAGGCAACUUGCAUUUUCCCCGUGAAACACUCUCCCUGGCUCUAAGAAGCCACCUCCCUCUCCUUGAAAGCCCUGGGGUGUUUUAAGUU